GAUCCUGGCUCAGGAUGAACGCCAGCGGUGUGCCUAAUACAUGCAAGUCGAACGCGUUGGCCCAACUGAUUGAACGUGCUUGCACGGACUUGACAUUGGUUUACCAGCGAGUGGCGGACGGGUGAGUAACACGUAGGUAACCUGCCCAAAGCGGGAUAACAUUGGAACAGAUGCUAAUACCGCAUAACAAUUUGAAUCGCAUGAUUCAAAUUUAAAAGAUGGCUUCGGCUAUCACUUUGGGAUGGACCUGCGGCGCAUUAGCUUGUUGGUAGGGUAACGGCCUACCAAGGCUGUGAUGCGUAGCCGAGUUGAGAGACUGAUCGGCCACAAUGGAACUGAGACACGGUCCAUACUCCUACGGGAGGCAGCAGUAGGGAAUCUUCCACAAUGGGCGCAAGCCUGAUGGAGCAACACCGCGUGAGUGAAGAAGGGUUUCGGCUCGUAAAGCUCUGUUGUUAGAGAAGAACGUGCGUGAGAGCAACUGUUCACGCAGUGACGGUAUCUAACCAGAAAGUCACGGCUAACUACGUGCCAGCAGCCGCGGUAAUACGUAGGUGGCAAGCGUUAUCCGGAUUUAUUGGGCGUAAAGCGAGCGCAGGCGGUUUGAUAAGUCUGAUGUGAAAGCCUUUGGCUUAACCAAAGAAGUGCAUCGGAAACUGUCAGACUUGAGUGCAGAAGAGGACAGUGGAACUCCAUGUGUAGCGGUGGAAUGCGUAGAUAUAUGGAAGAACACCAGUGGCGAAGGCGGCUGUCUGGUCUGCAACUGACGCUGAGGCUCGAAAGCAUGGGUAGCGAACAGGAUUAGAUACCCUGGUAGUCCAUGCCGUAAACGAUGAGUGCUAGGUGUUGGAGGGUUUCCGCCCUUCAGUGCCGCAGCUAACGCAUUAAGCACUCCGCCUGGGAGUACGACCGCAAGGUUGAAACUCAAGGAAUUGACGGGCCGCACAAGCGGUGGAGCAUGUGGUUUAAUUCGAAGCUACGCGAAGAACCUUACCAGGUCUUGACAUCUUGCGCCAACCCUAGAGAUAGGCGUUCCUUCGGAACGCAAUGACAGGUGGUGCAUGGUCGUCGUCAGCU
rnacentral:rRNA from 1 species